rnacentral:piRNA from 1 species
AAUUUAGUUAGAACGUCAGAAGGAGAAC